rnacentral:rRNA from 1 species
UACGAAGGGGGCUAGCGUUGCUCGGAAUUAUUGGGCGUAAAGGGCUCGUAGGCGGUUUGUCGCGUCGGGAGUGAAAACACCGGGCUUAACUCGGUGCUGGCUUCCGAUACGGGCAGACUAGAGGUAUUCAGGGGAGAACGGAAUUCCUGGUGUAGCGGUGAAAUGCGCAGAUAUCAGGAGGAACACCGGUGGCGAAGGCGGUUCUCUGGGAAUUACCUGACGCUGAGGAGCGAAAGUGUGGGGAGCGAACAGG